rnacentral:rRNA from 1 species
AAUAUUGCACAAUGGGCGCAAGCCUGAUGCAGCCAUGCCGCGUGUGUGAAGAAGGCCUUCGGGUUGUAAAGCACUUUCAGUCGUGAGGAAGGUAGUGUAGUUAAUAGCUGCAUUAUUUGACGUUAGCGACAGAAGAAGCACCGGCUAACUCCGUGCCAGCAGCCGCGGUAAUACGGAGGGUGCGAGCGUUAAUCGGAAUUACUGGGCGUAAAGCGCAUGCAGGUGGUUUGUUAAGUCAGAUGUGAAAGCCCGGGGCUCAACCUCGGAAUUGCAUUUGAAACUGGCAGACUAGAGUACUGUAGAGGGGGGUAGAAUUUCAGGUGUAGCGGUGAAAUGCGUAGAGAUCUGAAGGAAUACCGGUGGCGAAGGCGGCCCCCUGGACAGAUACUGACACUCAGAUGCGAAAGCGUGGGGAGCAAACAGGAUUAGAUACCCUGGUAGUCCACGCCGUAAACGAUGUCUACUUGGAGGUUGUGGCCUUGAGCCGUGGCUUUCGGAGCUAACGCGUUAAGUAGACCGCCUGGGGAGUACGGUCGCAAGAUUAAA